ACUUGAGGCCUGGGUAGUGGUAUUCCUGCUCUUUAUUUGAAUUAACUUGUUUUGUACUGUUAACAGGUAUUGGUGCCAAACGCUGGAGCGGAGGGCAGAAAAUGGCUUGUACGUGUGAUGGGUCUGCAGAUGAUGACAAGGGCAAGACAGCUUCCAGGAGGAAAGAUGAUGAGAUGGAUUGGUGCCUGGGAGUUGGACAUGGCGGUUCAUAAAAGCCUGUUCUGAGUUGACCUAAGAGAAGACUUGCAGGUCGGUCUCAACAGAAGCUUAUAGCUGGUUUACUGUCUGGAAGUGUUCGGUGCUUGGAGAGGAUGUCAUUACUCUUUCAUAAACAUCAAGGCUAGCAGCUCACCCUGCAAGGAGUAACAGUGCAAUGUGGUGGCCUUCCAUUUUCCUUCUGAAGAGGACCAUCUGCACCCACUGGUGGAGUCGACGGCUCAGAGGGUGACGACAAUGUAAUGGUCUUCAAAGAUUUCCUUGGAAUUUGCCAUGGACAUGCUGAAAAAGCCAAGGCCUUGAUGCAGAUAGGAAAAAGCCUCCAGCAAAAAUUUCUGAAAUUUCCUAACAGCCGUCUGAUAGGGUUGUGUUCUUCUGUAGUAGUAUGGAAUUAAAAGGAUUUUGAAUCUUUUCAAAAAA